GCUGCGCGCGGCGCGGCGCGGCGCGGCGGGGAGGGGCCCGGCCCGGCCCGGCCCGGCCCGGCCCGGCCGGGGCGGCGGCGCCGGAGCCCUGGGGCGGCGCGGGGGCUCCGGCUCGGCCGCUCCGCGCCCUGCGCUGCGCUGCGGUGGGCCCGGGUCGGGCAGUGCGGCCGAGCCCGCCUGGGUCGGGCCGGGCGCCGGGGGACCCCUGGUCAGCGGCGAGCUGGGGUUCGCCUCGGGCUCAUCGGGGGUUUUCCUUCGCUCCGUUUCCUCGGGAGGGCUCGGGCAGGCCGGGAAGGAGGGCGGGAACGUGCCCGCGGUCCGGGCAGGCGGAGGAAGAUCCGUCUCCGAGCAGGCACGUGCUGCUGCGGCGUUGCCCGAAAUGCUCCCGGGCUGGAAACCCUCCGAGCUGGCCCUGACCCACCCGGCUGGCAUCUGCUCGAGGGCAGGAAGGCUCUGCAGAGGGACCUGGACAGGCUGGAUCGACGGGCCGAGGCCAACUGGACGAGGUUUAACAAGGGCAAGUGCCGGGUCCUGCCCUUGGGUCACACCAGCCCCAGGCAAGGCUCCAGGCUUGGGGCAGAGCGGCUGGAACGUGCCCGGCGGAGAAGGCCCCUGAGGUCAUGCCGUGAAAGGGCGCACUAAGAAAACCUGAUGCCCUGAGCACGUUACUUCUGGAGAAACGCUUGGCCUCUGCAGCUCGGACUGUUUGUUUCCUUGCCCCUGCUGGUUCUGCCUGGGACAUCCCUCAUUUGAAAUGGCAGCGUGAGCGUGCUCCUUCCUUGUCUUGCAGUGGCCUGGAGGGCCCAGGAGCAGGGGGGCACAGGCUGCGCUGAGGGCUCUGGGCAGCACGGCCCCUACCAGGCUCCCAGCCUGGCAGCACGGGGUCACAGGCUGUAUGGAGCACGGCCCCGCCAAGUCCCACCUCACUGCCCGCUGGGAGCCCCACGCCGGUGCAGGGCCAAGCCGUGCUGGGGCAGUGCGGGGCUCCAGCUACACAGCCAUGCCAGCCGCUUUAGCAGGGGAGCACAAGGCGCCCGCUUCCCCCUGGGCAGCCCCAGGCUUGCCUGGGCCCAUGGACCCGCCAGCGCAGCGGGCCGUCCAGGCAGCAGAGCUGCCAGUGCCGUUGAUGGCAGGAGGGCCCUGGCAGCAAAGGGUGCCUGAGGGGCUUGCGGCAGGCUGGGCAGCUCUCGCACUCACGGGUCAGGGCGGCUUUUGGCCGUGAUCCUCUGGGUAGGGACGGGCUUCCCUCAUCCAGCUCUGGAAGGGGGCUCCCGUGGGAGCGGUGCCUGUCCCUGGAAUGCUCCAGACGGGCUUUCCGAGUCAACAGAGAACGUGGCCGCCUGGGACGUCCUUGAUGGAGAAGGCACUAUACCCCAGGACGCCAUGUCCAUGACAGCAACUGCAGGACGGAAUAACAAAGGCUUGCAAAAUGCAGCGCCUGUGGGAGCGAAGAGCCUGGCCUUAGCGUUAGAUGGUGGAGCCCAUGACGGCAGCACCCCAAGGGCUGUGGAACCAGACAGCCUUUCUGGGAAGCCCAGAGGCGGUGGUCCGUCAGAAGGGAACACGGGUCAGGGAGCUCAAAUUGGCAAGGGCAGAACAGAAUAACGAGGGGCGAAACGCUCAAAACUUCCCCGUCGACAGUAACCAAUGUGACACAGAAGGACCCCCAACAGAGAGCAGCGAGAUCUAGAACGGGGACGCGCACGGGCGGAGGAACGGGGUUUCCGACAGGCCAGUCACACAGGCUCUCGACACCCGUUCGACAGAAACUCGGCAACAGCCUGGGUGCCGGGAAGGUGCUAGGCCAAAUUGUUCCCUCCGCCCCUCCGGCCCCACUACCGGGACAGUAAGGGAGGAGCUCCGAAGCCUGGGAGCCCCGAAGAGCUGGCCCAAGGCUUGUUGCUCGACCCGCAACCCGGGCCUGCCAUCUGCCCGGCUGCCGCAGUGUCACCGAAAUCAGGAACAAAACUCCUUAACAUCAAUGCAGUGAUAUCCUGAAGAAAAUGGUCGUUUUGGAAUUCUCUGCUGAGCCACAAGAACGAACUACGUGAGCUCGGCAAAACAGAAUUUGAUGGCCAGAGUUGGGAACUGAGAGAUAGAGAAGCACUUGUUUUACCACUAUUUCCUUGAGGAGAGCUGAGAGACUGAUCAAAGCAAACAUCCCACCUCAGAAGCCGCAGAGAACUGGGCAAUAAAGUGUAUAGUUAAGGAGAAGAACUGGUUCUUCCCCCAGAGGGUGGUGGAGCCCUGGAACAGGGUCCCCAGGGAGGCCGUCACGGCACCAGCCUGGCGAUAUUCAAGCAGCACUUGGACAACGCCCUCAGAGGCACGGUGUGAAUUUGGGCUUGUCCUGUGCCGGGACGGGAGCUGGACUUGACGGUCCUUGUGGGUCUCUUCCAGCUCAGGGCAUUCUACGAUUAGACGCAAACUGCACAGUGAGGAAAAAUCGAGGUCUGAGUAGCGAAUACAAAGAUUUCUGAGGUAGCACUGACGUGAGCCAGUACGCUCCAGGGACACAAUGUCAUAUGAACACAACAGUGCUGGUCUUGGGCCCCAGCUGGCUUUAUGUUUUUACUCCUAGCUCAUGUCACCUGUAAAAACAGUAGCUGAGAAUUUAUUAUAAAGAGCAUAAUAGAAGAAGCAGCUUCUGAAAUGAAGGAAUAUUCUCGGGCCAACCCUGAAAAACGCUAACAACUUUAACUUUCCGUCCCUACAGUCAGCUGGAAUCUUACAGUCGCCAGCUAAAAUUCAAGUCUUACAAAAAUGCAAAAUCGAACCUACAAGCCCAACACACAAAUAUAUUAUCUACCUUUUUUUUGCCCCCUCAAAAAACAAGUCUGAACACGUGACUGUUGACUGUGAUCAAAGGAAGAUGUGACAUGACCCUUCAAACAUUCUGGAUGCGUAGGUGGGACUAAACCGUGUUUGUGAAUUAAGAAUAUGCAUGCUCAUUAAGACAGGCGGGUUACAUUUACCACCAAACCUCUACGUCAGCAUUUGCCAACACUGUUCAGCUUUGAGUACCCAGAGCUGCGAUCAGUUAACGUGAGAGCACCUCCUAGUAACAUCCAAGUAUUAAACUAACAACUAUACCUCCCUAGCGCGUAAACGGAAGGAAGCUCAGAUUGCGCCCCCUUCUCCUUACGCUGCCUUAGAACGUGACAGGCAUUUGACUCCAGGUUGAAAAAGCGCCACGGUCACAGUCUAAGGAAACUGGAGUUUCCCAGGUCUCAGAGUAAUUCUAGAGCUAAAGUGGUGACAGACAUCACCUUUAGAUCAGAUAAUACAUGCCAACACUCAUCACUGACCCGAGAAGGCCACCUCCUCCUGUCCUGCCCAAGGGUUUGAAAUCCAACACACUUUCUUCCGAAAACGGGACGCUACAAAUAAAUAAGAGAACACCGUUAAGGCAUUACUUGAGAUGCGACUAGAAACACAUUACGCGAGCAACCAAGCACUUGUCUGGAAGCACUGGAGCCUUUCGGGUACUGUUUUUCACCGCAGUUUGCUCGAGAAGAAAUAUAACAGACAGAACAGAUGCUGAGAAAUUUCAGCUACCCUGGAGAUAGCUGUGGUGAACAAUAAGAUUGAGACUAAGUGCUGCUUCUCAGCGGGAAAGUACGCACCAAAUAAAUACAGUGCUCAGACUGGUAUAAUUUGUGAGUGAUACAGAGGCAAAAAAAAAAAGCAGACGUGAGGAA